AUGAACGCUGGCGGCGUGCCUAAUCCCUGCCAGUCGCGCGAACAGACGAGGAGCUUGCUCCUCUGACGUUAGCGGCGGACGGGUGAGUAACACGUGGAUAACCUACCUAUAAGACUGGGAUAACUUCGGGAAACCGGAGCUAAUACCGGAUAAUAUAUUGAACCGCAUGGUUCAAUAGUGAAAGACGGUUUUGCUGUCACUUAUAGAUGGAUCCGCGCCGCAUUAGCUAGUUGGUAAGGUAACGGCUUACCAAGGCGACGAUGCGUAGCCGACCUGAGAGGGUGAUCGGCCACACUGGAACUGAGACACGGUCCAGACUCCUACGGGAGGCAGCAGUAGGGAAUCUUCCGCAAUGGGCGAAAGCCUGACGGAGCAACGCCGCGUGAGUGAUGAAGGUCUUCGGAUCGUAAAACUCUGUUAUUAGGGAAGAACAAAUGUGUAAGUAACUAUGCACGUCUUGACGGUACCUAAUCAGAAAGCCACGGCUAACUACGUG
rnacentral:rRNA from 1 species